UUUUUCUUAAAAGAGAUCUCUAGUCUUCCCAUUCUAUUGUUUUCCGCUGUUUCUUUUCAUGGUUACUUAAGAAGGCUUUCUUAUCUCUCCUUGCUAUUUUCUGGAACUCUGCAUUCAGUUGGGCGUAUUUUUCUGUUGGCAUGACAGAUCUACAAAUCAGUAAUAUCUUUGGGGCACUGCUACUCAGUGUUUUUGGUUUUAAAGAGAAAGUAAAUGGAAAGAUGUCACUUUGGUUAGUCACAGCAAAGGAUAACUAGAAUGACCUUACAUUUUUUUUUUCUAUUAGUCAUUCAUCUGUGUUUGUUAAAUGUUUAAUGAUACCAUAAGAGGAUCUUCAUGAGCUACUUUUAGGUCAAAAGUCUACCCAGGAAACUACCUAUUUUAUAGUAAAAAUUGCCUCAUUUUUCCAGGUGACAGAAUUCAUUCCCAGAACUGAAUGGGCAAAAAACUGAAAAGGAAUGGAUCCUGGAAGAAUAAACUGGAAAGUUCACAAUUUUUCAUUAUUUUGUUUGGAAAAGCUGAACUUAUUUAAAUGUAAAUUUAAAAAGUCAAAAUAUAAACAGGUGAUACAUGGAUAACAGGAUGCUUUGGAUUUUCAUGGCCCCUUUGAGGACGUGUUGCACUGUGACAGUUCAUCCCUAACCACAGCCUCAUGAGAACAGUCACCCUUCUUACUUUUAUGGUCUGUAUCGCUCCAGAUCCUCUCAGGUCCCUCAGGCUGUCGAUGGCUUGCUGCGGUGAUACUGUGUCAGACAGGUAUAGGAGGAGACAAGCAGCUACUAAUAGAACAUGAGAGAAAAAGCAUGUAUUAUAUAUAUUAUAAACUGAUGAUGGGGUACAACAAUUCAUAUUUAGUUUAGUUUAUUUAGUCUUCUGUUGUGCAGAAGACUGAGUUUGCUGUAAUUGUUUGAAAUGAAUUAAGACUAAGACUUUUUAGUGUGUUUUUGAUAGUUAAAUUAUGAUUUUAAAUGAUUGCAGUUGAAUUACAAUUUAACACUGGCUUCAUUCUUUUUUAUUAAAACUUUUAUUGAGUGAUUAAAAUUCAUCUCUCACAAUUCAUUCAUCGAAAGUGUAUAAUUUAGUGGAUUUCAGUGCAGCCAUCGCCACAGUUUCAGAAUAUUUUCAUUACCUCAGGAAGAAGCCCUGUACCCUUUUGUUAUCAUCCCCUUAUCACUCAUCAUCCUGUCACCCCUCCCCUAAGCAACAUUUAAUCUACUUUCUGUCUUUAUGGAUUUGCCUAUUCUAGACAUUUCAAAUAAAAGGAAUCAUAUGUUGUCUUUUGUGACUGACUUCUUUCACUUAGCAUUAUGUGUUCAAGAUAUUUACAUUUGGUGGCAUGUACUUCAUUCCUUUCUUAUAGCUGAAUAAUAUUCCACCGUAUGGCUAUACAUUUUGUUUAUCCAUUUGUCAGUUGAUGUGGACAUUUAGGCUUUUCCAUUUUUGGCUGUCAUAAAUAAUAUGGCUAUAAAUGUUCAUAAGUUUUGUAUGAACAUGUUUUCAUUUCUUUUGGAUAUAUACCUAGGAGUGAAAUUGCUGGGUUGGACAGUAACUCGAUGGGUAAGGAGGAGGAGGGACUGCCUGGCUAUUUUCCAAAGCAGCUGCACCAUUUUUCAUUCCAAGCAGCAGAGUAGUAAGUUUCCAGUUGUUCUACACCCUUGCCAACUCUUGCUUUCCAUUUUUUGGAUAAUAGCCAUUCUAAUGGGUGUUAGGUGGUAUCUCAUUGUGGUUUUGAUUUGCAUUUCUCUGAUAACUAAGAUUUUGAGCAUUUUUCUGUGUGCUAAUUAGUGAUUUGUGUAUUUUGUUUGGAGAAAUGUCUGCUCAUAUCCUUUGCCCAGUUUUUAACUGGGUUGUCUGUCUUUUUAUUGAGUUGUAAGAGUUCUUUAUGUAGUCUAGGUAAGUCCCUUAUCAGAUACAUGGUUUGCAAAUGUUUUCUCCCAUUCUGUGGGUUGUCUUUUCAUCCUGAUAGUAUCUUUACACAAAAGUUUGUAAUUUUGAUACUGUCCAACACUAAAAGGAAUAAUUCUUACUCCCACUGUGUUACUUCAUUAGCUAUUUUUCCAACAUACUUUUGAAAAGUUUAAAGUUAACAUGUAACUAAGGUUUCUAUGCCUAUGUUACCCAUGGAUAUUUAGAAGUUACUGUAUCAUAAUACCUGCAUAGGGAAGAUAUUAGAAAGUAAAACACAAGAAGGCAGGUGCUAAGACAUAAAAAUUGUUUUCCAGAAUCCUCUAAAGCAAUGCUGAAAACACCUCCCACUCCACUCUCACCCAAGAUUUCUAAGGAACACUAAAUGUUGGGCCUUAAAUAAUCCUUUGGGUCUUAGUAGACAUAUAUUAUAUUUUGUCUGAUUUUCAUACAAAGUGAGCAUAUGGCCCAGAAAAAUGAGUUUUCCUACUUGGAGGUAAAAAACAAAAACUGAAUAAUGGAAAUAUAUUUCUUACCAAGACAAGAUCUCCCAAGUCCUCCAUAACAGCUGAAAGGGAAAUACAGUUUUGAAGUUUGUACAUUUUUAUUCCAUCCCAACAAUUAUAACCAGAGACUUGCUCUUUCUGCCUUCUAUUUCUAGUCUAAUGCCUAGCACAGUGCCUUGUACCCAUGGAGAUUAAUAAGUAUCUUUGAAUGAAUCAGUCAAGAGCAAAGUAUGCUUAUUUAUUUGCUGGGAGGUAUUCUGUAUACCUCAAAGGGCCAAGGAAAGCAAAACCUUUUUAUUGACCUCUUGCAACAUCUGGUAGUUCAGCUGGUAAAGAAUCUGCCUGCAAUGUGGAAGACCUGGCUUUGAUCCCUGGGUUGAGAAGAUCACCUGGAGAAGGGAACGGCUAUCCACUCCAGUAUUCUGGCCUAGAGAAUUCCAUAGGGUCACAGAGUCGUGAGCCACCUUCACUUUCAACAUCUGAGGAGUGUAACAUGUUACUAAAUUGAUAGAAAUCAGAGUAGUUUUACCAACUGCCUCUAUUUUUCUCUAAACAAAACCUUAGUAGUUUUGUUUAUAUGGAGACAAAUCCAUAUAAAUAACUCUUCAGUCAUGUGAUAAGAGUACAGAAGUAGUGCAUCCUGUAGGUUUAGAGCUUGGGCUCCGGAGCCCCAUGGCCUGGGGCUGAGAAUCAUGACUCUCACUUAUUAGAUGUGUCAGCCUCAGUUAUUUAACCUCUCUGGCCUCAGGCUUUUCACCUAUAAGAUGGGACAGCAACAGUAUCUAUGUCAUAGUGAGGAUUGAAUGGGGUAACAUUUGUAAAGCUUACAACAGAGCUUGGCACAGAGUAAGAAAUAAAUGAACAUUAGCUGCUAUUAUGUAGCUUUGUGAAGAAAUGAGCAGUUCUAUAUAACUGGAUUUUCUAGGAAAAUGAAGAUCAAUUCUUAAAGCAGUGAAAACAUUCACUUUAAUCAGUUUCAAAGAUCCUAAAAAAGUGUAUUAGACACUUUCUGACUUUUCUAAGAGAGUGUACUGAUUCCAUUUAGGUGCUGACAACUCAUCAAGUACAUCAGUUACAGUGGUGUAUACAUAGACAGAACUGUGGAUAUGUGUCCUGUGACAGGAGGAGACGGGAUCAAACAGGGCUGUGCUUCUGUGCAAGUGAACCAGGAAAUUGGAGUUCCUGCCCUUUGGAGCUUUCCGUUUAAGAAGCAAUCAAACGUCUGACAAUUCCUACUACUGUUGCUCAAGCUGAAUUAUCAGUAAAUAUUGACUGCAUGCUAAAUGAAUUCAGACAGUGGCACUGACAAGGCUGGCUGGCAUUUCAGGCAUGGUUUUUAGGGUCUUUGCAUGUGGAGGGUUGCUGGGAUCUCCCCCUCAACUUUGUGCCUUUAUGGGCUUGACUUUAUCAAUAUACCCACAUUGGGUAGUCUUCCUGUGACCCCUUCUCUUACUUUUUCUCUAUUAUAUAUUACACAUAAAAAUAUUUCCUGUUCAGUCAACCUUUUUAGUAGUUUAAAAGAUUUAUUGGUCAAUUUCAUAAUACUGUAUCAUUGUAAGUGUUAUUGCUAGGAAUCAGUAGCCAAAAUAUGUGAAAAAGUUUUCCUUGUGGCUUCCUGGAUCAUUCCUACUUUGUCCAUCCUAACAGUUUUAGGAUUUAUAACCAUAUUAUUUUUUUCACCUUUCACAAUUCUGUAGUCACAGUUAGUGUCUAUCAGUGUCUAUUAUAACCCUGUGCUAUUGGCUUUCAGCCAGCUAAUUACUGUUGGAGUGAUGUGCAGAGAACUGGCCGCUUUCCUGAGUAUUAGCUGCAGCCUUUCUCAAUCAUCCUGUUUCCUUGUUCUUCACGAUUUUCAGGCAGUCAUGGUUUUCUUAUUUUGUACUCAUUAUGAAGUUUAAAACUUGGCCCUGUGAAAGGAGCUGAGUGCCUGGUCUGUUUUCUGCCACCCAAACCAAAUAAACCUGUAAACAUAUAAAGUCUUUAAAAAAAAAAGCCCACAUUACAUUGGGAAAAAACUUUUUUCCCCCUGAUACUGCAUCUCCUCUAGGAAAUCACCAGACUGGAGGCCUUUGCAGAGCUUGAAUUAGGCCCUUAUUAGGAUGGUGUUGCAUUGAUUUUGGAUAGUGCAUUACAGAGUCCAGAUGCUGCUUCUUUCUGUCUUAAUUGGGUGUGUGUGUGGGGGGGCAGGGUGUGAGGGGAAGAUCACCCUUUCUUCCAAAAUACUCAUCUUUUUCUCCCGUUAAAAUUCAUUCAUGACUAAAUCAUUAUAGAGAAGCCUUUGGAAACCUUUUUAUUCUGGAGAGUUCUGGGUACAAACACAUCCUCCAAUGGCCAUGAAUACCAGGCUCCCUUGUCCUUCAAGGGAGAAGGAUGCGCUGGGUAAUGAACCAAAAGGGGGGACUCUGGCAGGCUCUUUCAGCUCAGACAAAACUGAACACAAGGAUAGGAAGAAGCGCUCCAAAGGCCGUGGCAGGUUGCUCUCAGGAAAAGGGAAUCACUUAUUUUUAAGCCUUCUAUCAAUGAGCCUCUAUAUGAUCGUCACUUUUUCUUUUUUCCCCCAGCUUUAUUGAGAUAUAGCUGUAUAUAUAUAUUUUAAGCUGCUUCUGACCCUCAGCACUGGGUAAUGGAAAUAAGCUACAAUUAAGUCCAGCUUCAUAAGACAAUGCGAGACUCAAUAAGGAGAAAUUGUUGUCCUUUUUUUUCCUUUUCUUAGCGCUUUCCUCACUCUGCUUCCCAAAUUGCUUUCACUUGGGCAGGAGAGCCCACGGGAGCAAGGUCCCUCCCGCGGCUUGCUGGCUGUGGAGCUAAGCGCCACUGGAAUGCAGGGCUGUGAAAACCCGGGCUGGGCCGUCGGCCUGAUGGGAAGCCCGGAGCUGCUUGCUGAAUUAUUACUCCAUUCUCGGCCAAAGCAGCGGGAGGCGAGAUGAUGAGUGAGGGAAAGAGCCCGUGGACUCCAAUGUGGGCUGAGGGAACCAAAACAAACACAGAGAAGACAGG